rnacentral:rRNA from 1 species
CCAAUAGCGUAUAUUAAAGUUGUUGCAGUUAAAAAGCUCGUAGUUGAAUUUCGGGAGCAGUACGCCGGUCGUGCCUCGGUAUGUACUGGUGUUACUGGUUCCUACCUUCUGACGAACCGUCAUGUCAUUAAUUUGGUGUGGCGGGGAAUCAGGACUGUUACUUUGAAAAAAUUAGAGUGUUUAAAGCAGGCUCGCGCUUGAAUACAAUAGAAUGGAAUAAUGAAAUAGGACGUUCGAUCCUAUUUUGUUGGUUUCUAGGAUUGACGUAAUGAUUAAUAGGGAUAGUUGGGGGAAUUAGUAUUCAAUUGUCAGAGGUGAAAUUCUUGGAUUUAUUGAAGACUAACUACUGCGAAAGCAUUUGCCAAGGAUGUUUUCAAUAAUCAAGAACGAAAGUUAGGGGAUCGAAGACGAUCAGAUACCGUCGUAGUCUUAACCAUAAACUAUGCCGACUAGGGAUCGGAUGAUGUUAUUUUUAAUGACUCAUUCGGCGCCUUACG